CUGACUUGCCUCACUGUGGUUGGCGGUGGCGGUGAUAGAGACUGCAGCACGACCAGAGUGGCUUUUCUGGCUUUGCCUGCCCAGCUGCUCCGUGCCAGGAGGAGGAGGAGACACCUAGAGCUUGCGACACCACGGCUCGCCUCGUUGCUGGUGGGUGGCAGCGAUGGAGACCGCAGUGCACCGGAGCGCAGCCUUCUGAUGACAGAUGGCCAACCCAGAGAAUCCAGGACAGCCCCCCAUC